AGAGUUUGAUCCUGGCUCAGAAUGAACGCUGGCGGCGUGCCUAACACAUGCAAGUCGUACGAGAAAUCCCGAGCUUGCUUGGGAGAGUAAAGUGGCGCACGGGUGAGUAACGCGUGGGUAACCCACCUUCGAAUCUGGGAUAACUCCGCGAAAGCGGUGCUAAUACCGGAUAAGACCACAGCCGUUUCGGCGGCAGAGGUAAAAGCUGACCUCUCCAUGGAAGUUAGCGUUCGAGGACGGGCCCGCGUCCUAUCAGCUUGUUGGUGGGGUAAUGGCCUACCAAGGCAGCGACGGGUAGCUGGUCUGAGAGGAUGAUCAGCCACACUGGAACUGGAACACGGUCCAGACUCCUACGGGAGGCAGCAGUGAGGAAUUUUGCGCAAUGGGGGAAACCCUGACGCAGCAACGCCGCGUGGGUGAAGAAGGCUUUCGGGUCGUAAAGCCCUGUCAGGUGGGAAGAACCGUUUCGAUACUAAUAAUGUCGAAGCCUGACGGUACCACCAGAGGAAGCACCGGCCAACUCCGUGCCAGCAGCCGCGGUAAUACGGAGGGUGCAAGCGUUGUUCGGAAUUAUUGGGCGUAAAGCGCACGCAGGCGGUUUGUUAAGCUAGAUGUGAAAGCCCCGGGCUCAACCUGGGAAUAGCAUUUAGAACUGGCAGACUAGAGUCUUGGAGAGGGGAGUGGAAUUUCUGGUGUAGCGGUGAAAUGCGUAGAUAUCAGAAGGAACAUCAGUGGCGAAGGCGACUCCCUGGCCAAAGACUGACGCUCAUGUGCGAAAGUGUGGGUAGCAAACAGGAUUAGAUACCCUGGUAGUCCACGCCCGUAAACGCUGUCUACUAGCUGUUUGUGGAUUUAAUCCGUGAGUAGCGAAGCUAACGCGAUAAGUAGCCCGCCUGGGGAGUACGGCAGCAAGGUUAAAACUCAAAUGAAUUGACGGGGGCCCGCACAAGCGGUGGAGCAUGUGGUUUAAUUCGAUGCAACGCGAAGAACCUUACCAGGUCUUGACAUCCUCGGAACUUGGCAGAGAUGCCUUGGUGCCUUCGGGAACCGAGUGACAGGUGCUGCAUGGCUGUCGUCAGCUCGUGUCGGGAGAUGUUGGGUUAAGUCCCGUAACGAGCGCAACCCUUGUCCUUAGUUGCCAGCGAGUAAUGUCGGGAACUCUAAGGAGACUGCCGGUGACAAACCGGAGGAAGGUGGGGACGACGUCAAGUCAUCAUGGCCCUUACGAGUAGGGCUACACACGGGCUACAAUGGCCGGUACAGAGGGCAGCGAAGUCGCGAGGCGGAGCAAAUCCCACAAAACCGUUCUUAGUCCGGAUUGGAGUCUGCAACUCGACUCCAUGAAGUUGGAAUCGCUAGUAAUCGUAGAUCAGAAUGCUACGGUGAAUACGUUCCCGGGCCUUGUACACACCGCCCGUCACACCAUGGGAGUGGGUUGCACCAGAAGUAGCUAGACUAACCUUCGGGAAGUCGGUUACCACGGUGUGAUUCACAACUGGGGUGAAGUCGUAACAAGGUAGCCGUAGGGGAACCUGCGGCUGGAUCACCUCCUU
rnacentral:rRNA from 1 species